CUGUCAGUAUCGAGACCCACACCUCCAAUUAUUUCCCUCUCCACCAGCUUGCCAUCUUCACUCUCUAUGUCCAUCGUUCUCUCAAAACUCGACAGCGAUCGCUCACUCUCCGUCUCCGUCGAUUACCCACCCUCGUCACUUACCCUCACUCUCCUGAACAAGACCCAACUCAUCUCCAUUCCCCUCAAAACCAACUCUUACCCAGCCCGCUCCUCCACCACAAAACCAGACCUUACCUUCGAUAUCCAUGGAAACAAGCCAAAAAUUUCACUCAUCCUUAAAGCUGCUGUCUAUACCAGCUCACGAAGACCCCUCUGUAGCAUCGAUCUCUGUUUGGUUUCUGGAUUUGAACACGACGCAUGUGGGACGUCUCAAUCAUCGUUCUUCGUGGCACCAAAUAAGAGACAGACGACAGUACACCCGGACGACUGCACACAGACCAGCUUUGCACCGAUUUAAAUCCCACAGUUGAAACUCUUACCCCCUUAUUCCAGAUCAUUCACGGUGAUACAGGUAGACAAAUUUAUUUAUUGGGGCUUUUUUUGACAUGGAAUUUCUGUCAGAUCAUUCUCGGCGAUAUAGGUAUAAAAAUUGAUUUGUUGGGGCUUCCUUUUUGAAAUGGAAUUUCUAUCUCUUUUGAUUGUUUUGAUGUGGUGAGCAUGAAGUUUAGUUACUGAAUAUACACUGAUAGUGAGUAAAUCUGUUAAAAUGCUUUGCUUAUAAUGCUGUACACACCUAGGAUGCAUGGUUCUGUCACGAGAAUAUGAGUUUUGAGUGUGUGCAGUGAUAGUUUCUUGCUAUUAUUUUACUACUUAGUUGUCCCAACAAUGAUUCAGCAGCAGAUUAAAGGAGUAAUGCUCGCCCUAGCCCCUCACUCUCACUCUCACUCUCACUCUCAUUCUCUUGGUAUAGUGUUGAUUUAAUAUAUUUCUGUUUAUUUGUGUUGAUAGUUUGUUAAUUUGAUGUUCUAUGGGUAUGGGCUUGCUGAUAUGAUUUUUUUUUUUUUCUUUUGGCUUUUCAGAUUAGUGUUUAAUUCCUCAUCAUUCUUCACUGCUCUAACUAUUGUUAUUCCGUCUGUGCAGUGCAUAGGGAAUUGAGGUAGAUGAAGAGAAGGUGAAAGCUAAGGAGUGGUUUAUUCCUAAAUCUAUUUCAGAUGUGAGGAGCUUUUGUGGCCUUGCAAGCUUUUACAGGAGGUUUGUGCAGGAUUUCUCUAUUAUUGUAGCAUCACUCACAAGAAUUAUUAAGAAGGAAGUUGGCUUCAAGUGGGGAGAGGAGCAACAGAAAGCUUUUGAUUGCUUAAAAGGGAAGUAGCAUUCUCUCAUAUAUUAUCUUUACCUAAUUUUGAUAAAGUUUUUGAAAUUGAGUGAUAUUUCUGGCAUAGGUAUUGGGGCUGUGUUGAUGUUAGAGAAGAAACCAAUAGCUUAUUUCAGUGAGAAGUUGAAUGGAGCACAACUCAAUUACUCAACCUGUAAUAAGGAGCUGUAUAUAUUGGUGAGAGCACUGAACAUGUGACAACACUAUCUCCUACCCAAGGAGAUUGUGAUACAUACGGAUCAUGAGUCCUUAAAAUACUUGAAGGUAUAAGGCAAGUUGAAUAAGAGGUAUGGUAUGAUACGGAUCUAAUAAAUUAAAAUUUGUAACAAUGGUGUGGAGCAAUCUUAUAUCAUUCAAAUAGGUCUAAAAGGAGCUCAAAAUAAUAUUUAUAUGAUCCAAAUACACUUGGAGCAUGUUGCAAUUCAUAUGGAGCAAAUUUGGUGCAACACUUGCAAGAGGCUUAGAGGGUCUAAUCAAGCAUAUGAGCCAAAACUACACAAAGGGAAGUCUAAAGUGAAGAUUAAGAAAGACUUUUGUAAAGAUUCAGUUUUGUCAUGUUGGCUUGCUAUGUUUUAUGAUUUAAACACUUACUUUAUUUUGGUUUUGUUUGGACUUAUGUUCAGCAAGUAACAUAUUAUCAACAAACACAUCUAAAUCAUCACAGUCAUUAUGAGCAUCAAUCAAUUUAGUCAUAUCAACAUAUAUCUCAUCAUCACUAUGAUCAGAAUCAGACACUACACUUCCAUCAGCAGUUGCCAUCACAACUCUCUUAUUAAGGCGUUGAGAUGCAAUAUGUCCUUUCCCAAAGCAUUUAAAAUAUUUUAUAUCUUUACUAGAGGUAGAAGAGUUAGAAUUAAGAAAGUCAUUUGUUAGUAGAGACCAAAUCUUUGCCGCUUUGGAUUGGGCUUUUGUAAUAUUUUUUUUCUCUACUUCUAUAGCCUUGAAACCCACCACUACUGUUUGAGGACUUGUAUGUGGUUUUAAGGUUAUUUUUGCUCUUGUGACGCUUUUCUAUUUUCAUUGUUUUAUCAAUCAUAUCCUCUAUGGUAUUGUAUUGGUACAUGUUAAGUUGUUCAACUAUGUAGUGGUUAAGACCACCUAGAAAUUUGGAUAUCAACAUUUGUUCAUUCUCCUCAAUAUAAGUCUGAGCCAUUAUCAUCUCACCUCCUUGUGAUAUUCUUCUAUAUUCUUUCCUCCUUGCACCAAUCUUGUCAACCUGCUGUACAAAUUCCUAUAAUAGUGUGAAGGAAUGAAUCUCUGAUGUAUCAACUCUUUCAAAUAUUUCCAUAGUGAAACUGCCCUUAAACCCUUAUUCCUCCUAGUGGAUUUCAAUUGAUCCUAC